GAGAUCCUCUUCAGCACCCGCAGGUGGAGACUUACUGGGGCAACGUUAAUCCCAUCGGAGUUCGGAGUUGUUACGACGAGGGAAAGCGGACAGCUGAAACGCUGACAAUGGACUACCACAGGGGCGCCAACGUCGAGGUCAGGAUUGCUCGUAUAUUCAACACGUAUGGCCCCAGGAUGUGCAUCGAUGACGGCCGCGUGGUUAGCAACUUCGUUGCGCAGGCGCUGAGAAAAGAACCGUUGACUGUUUAUGGUGAUGGGAAGCAGACAAGGAGCUUCCAGUAUGUCUCUGACCUGGUAAGGGUUUUGCUUUCUUCCCCUAAUUACCA